CACAGUAGAAUACAUCACAAAGAAGAGAGAGAGAGACAGAGGAGAGGCCAUAUGCGUGUUUGUCUGACCUCGCAGCUCAGAGCCUAAAGACAAAAGAAGAAGAAGAAGAGUAAGCGAAGCUCUAACCCGAUAUUUAAUCUCCCUACACAAAUCGCACAAAACAAAAGAAAAAAGAAAAGAAAAGAAAAAGGAAUUCUCUUUUCAGUCAAUUUAUGAUGGUCGCAUGAAUUGGUGGAGAAAUAAUAGGUACUCUUGAUUAUUUUUGAGUUAGCUUAAAUGGAUCCGACAGCUGAAGAGCAAUUAGAUUAUGGAGAUGAGGAAUUUGUAGGGGCUCAAAAGAUGCAGUAUCAGGGAGGUGGAGCGAUUUCUGCUCUUGCAGAUGAUAUAAUAGGUGAAGAUGAUGAAUAUGAUGAUCUAUAUAAUGAUGUUAAUGUUGGAGAAGGUUUCUUGCAGCUGCAGCGUUCAGAGGCACCAGUGCCAUCUCCUGGUGUGGGUAAUGGGGGAUUUCAAGCACAGAAAACUAAUCUUCCUGAACCUAGAGCUGAAGCUGCAGGGGCACAACAGCUAAGCGUCCACGGGGUUGCAACUGAAGGGAAGUACUCGAAUUCUGGGAUCCAUUUUACUGAGCCGAAGGAUGGGUUGACAGCUGAUAGGGAACAACUAGGAACUACUGAUAUUGCGCAAACGGGAAGGGUUCACGGGAUGACUCAUGAUACUCAACCUGCAAAUUUGGGCUUUCAAGGAUCAACUCCAAUGCCUCAGAAAAUUGGGGUUGAUUCUACUAAAAUGUCAGUAAAGUUGGCCGCUGAGUCUGCUUCGCUGCUGAACUCUGGUACAGGCGGCCCUAGAAGUGUUCCACAGAUAUCAGCUAAUCAGAUGGGUAUGAAUGUAAAUGCAAAUGCAAAUGCAAAUGUGAACCGUCCAAUGGUUAAUGAAAAUCUGAUUCGGCCUGCUUUGGAGAAUGGCGGAACCAUGAUCUUUGUGGGAGAACUGCAUUGGUGGACUACUGAUGCGGAGAUUGAGAGUGUGCUAUCCCAAUAUGGGAGGGUCAAGGAGAUUAAGUUCUUUGAUGAGAGAGCUAGUGGAAAAUCAAAAGGCUAUUGUCAAGUUGAAUUUUAUGAUGCAAUUGCUGCAGCUGCGUGCAAAGAAGGAAUGAAUGGUCAUAUUUUUAAUGGGCGAGCUUGUGUAGUGGCCUUUGCUUCUCCACAAACCAUAAAGCAGAUGGCUUCUUCUUAUAUGAACAAAAACCAAGUCCAGCCUCAGUCUCAGACACAGGGAAGGAGGCCUAUGAAUGAUGGGGUGGGGAGAGGUGGUGGGAUGAAUCAACCUAGUGGAGAUGGAGGGAGGAAUUAUGGAAGAGGUGGGUGGGGGGGACGAGGUGGGCAGGGAAUACUCAAUAAUAGAGGCCCUGGGGGUGGACCUAUGAGGGGAAGAGGAGGGCCUAUGGGGGCAAAGAAUAUGAUUGGAAGCACUUCUGGUGUCGGAAUUGGUGGUAGUGGAGGAGGGUAUGGGCAAGGCCUUGCGGGUCCUGCUUUUGGUGGUCCUCCUGGUGGUUUGAUGCAUCCUCAGGGUAUGAUGGGUGCUGGAUUUGACCCAACUUAUAUGGGUAGAGGAGCUGGCUAUGGAGGGUUUUCGGGUCCCCCUUUCCCUGGGAUGCUUCCUUCAUUUCCAGCUGUUAAUGCAAUGGGACUUGCUGGGGUGGCUCCUCAUGUGAACCCUGCAUUCUUUGGCAGAGGAAUGGCAGCUAAUGGAAUGGGAAUGAUGGGGCCCACUGGGAUGGAUGGACAUCAUGCAGGAAUGUGGACAGACACGAGCAUGGGUGGAUGGGGAGGGGAAGAACAUGGCCGGAGGACAAGAGAAUCGAGCUAUGGUGGUGAAGAUGGUGCUUCUGAAUAUGGAUAUGGAGAGGCAAGCCACGAAAAAGGAGUAAGAUCAAAUGCUGCUUCCCGGGAGAAGGAAUGGGGUUCUGAACGUGAUUGGUCAGGAAACUCUGAGAAAAGGCAUCGUGAUGAGAGGGAGGUGGAAAGGGACAGAUCUGAUAGGGAACACAGGUACAGGGAGGAGAAGGAUGGUUACCGAAACCCUCGGCAAAGAGAACAAGACUUGGGCUAUGAGGAUGACUGGGAUAGAGGACAGUCUUCUUCAAGAUCUCGGAGCCGGUCCAAAGCGAUGCCAGAAGAGGAUCACAGGAGAUCAAGGGAUGUGGAUUAUGGGAAGCGCAGACGCCUGCCAUCAGAGUGACAUAAUCAAGCUUUUAAUUCUCCAUAUAAGGGUCCUAUGAGACCUUGACCUUAGCAUUUUCAAAUCAUCAUGUCUCAUCAACGGAUUGCUAGAAUGCAUCUACCUCUGUUCUUUCUGGUGUACAUGCAGUUUAGCUUCUGAACUGAAAAAGGAGCGAGUUGGCAACUACCUGUUUUUGUGAUUGAAUCAGCCUAUGUUGGUUAUCUCAAGGAAGAUGGUUUAAGUUGGCUGCUUUUCCUGGAUUUCUAUGAAAAUCACAUGGCCUGCUAGUAUGCCAAAGAAGCCUUGAACAUAUUACUUGUCAUUUUGUUUUCCUCAAGCACUUCCUCAAAACUUUGAAAAUGUGCUUCUGGAAGAAAACGUUUAGAAAGUAUCCAAUUCAUGAACUUAUCAAUAAGUGAAGCAUAUUGGAGUCGAGUUCUUGGAUGCAACCACAAUGCCUGCCGGUCUGCAUGCCGAGCACUUUUAUCUCGUCUGUGAACUGAUUUUGUUGUUGUAGGUUCACAGCAUGUAAUUGGCCCAUCUUUGUAGAUCACUUGUAUCUCGUCAGUGUCUUUGUAAAAUUCUUGUACAAAUUAUGAGGCCCAUGUUUGUUCAUAUUUGAUCUGUUGUAUCAGAUAAUGUUGAUUCUUUUCAUUAGGGGUCAGAUUUAGCUAUUUGUACUUUGUAACAUGGGUCGCUGUUCCACUUGUAAGUGGUUAUUGUAAAAUCUCAAGAAAUUGUUGUCUGUUGAUGGAGCUUUCUUUCCUGUAAGCACGAAGAACCAUCGAUUGUUUUAUGUCUGUAAUCAUGUAAAGUACAAGAUGUAGGUUUUUUUUAGGAGUUAAGAAGUUGUAGCUUGAUUCUUUAUGUUAAUGCCGGAAGUGGAAGAGUUGUUUUUGUCCUGAUGAAGGACUUGUACAUACUAUUGUUGUUACUACUUUUUUAGGUUUAGGUUUUCCUUUGGGAGCAGUGUUUUUUUGUAUCUCUGUUCUUGAGGGAGAUUUCAUUGUAUAGAUCAUGUGUAACAGUUUGAUUCAAUAGGAAAAUGAAAUGUAUAGUUUCUCAUACAA